AGGUCCUGAGUGAGUCCCCUGGCCCACCCCACUCAACUGAGAUCUGACAACAUAUGUUUGGGGACAAACAGCCCCAGCAGCCAGGAGCAGGUCACAUCAUACGUAGUCAGCAUCAGCCACGGUCCCCACCCACUCUCCCGGGGAAAAAGGUGCUGCUUGCAGGCAGCGUGGCAUCCGAACAUCCCCAUGGCGAUGCUGAAGUCAGACCUCACUACGGUGAUCUCACGCUGGGGCCACCAGACCCAGGCCAGGUUGGGAGUAGGCUGUUGGCCCAUCGCUGGCUGUCAUUGUCACCAAGGGAAGAGGAGAAGCUGUGAAGAGUCGCUCUGGAAAAAACAAAUCUGCUCAUAGGGCAAUGGGUCUGGGUGAACCUAUCCCGGCCCUCUUGGCUGCUGGGCCAGGGCCUGGUUUUUCACAGGGCACCAUUGAGGCCACAGCCUCUGAAGAGAGCAUACAACUGCCCUAGAAAGCGCUCUUGUCACCCCUGCUGCUGGAGUGCAAUUGCACAGUCUCAGCUCAUUGCAAGCUCCGCCUCCCAGGUUCAAGCAAUUCUCCUGCCUCAGCCUCCCAAGUAGCUAGGACUACAGGGUAGAGACUCAGAGGCCUGCAGAUGUCUUUGCCACUUUCACAGGCUCUCUGGGAACUGGAAACUGAACUUUAAGAAAUAACUAUAGUGCAAAGGAAACUAAGGGAAAUGGGUUCAACCCAAAGCAGAAGGGACUGUGAUGAUCACAGUGACCUCCUGAGGCCAGCACGGUGGUAGCAGCCAGAGACAGCAGCUGAGUGAGACCCCAAGGGAGGGAUGAGCCAGGCAGUGUGUGGUUGGAGUUCUCCCAACACAUCUCGUUUUCCUCACCUCCAGAUCACACACAUGCACACACACACACAUGUGCACACACCCACCCUUACACACUCCUGCCCGAAGGUUUCUGCAGGACUCCUUCCUGGCGCCCCGUCCUUUGCUGCCAGCGUCACACCAUACUGCAAGGCUUUGCAAACUUUCCCUCCAAAGUGAAGGAGACCCUCUGGCCAUCUGAGGCUUGGCCUGAAGCAACGGCGUCAGAGCGCAAUCUCAGGCCUGCAGGAAGUGCGCGGCGUGCCACAUACAUUAUCUCACUUAAUCUCAUUAGCAGGAAAUGUCUUUAAAGUCUUAUGUUGGCGCUUAAAAAUUCAUGAGCCGUUUAGCCCUUUAAAAAGCCAGGUUUUUAAAAAUUUG